UUUACAUGAUAGUUAAUGGAAAGCUCUGUGCGUCUCCUACCGCCGCUAAAGGGUGCUUUGUACCACCAACAGCC